rnacentral:rRNA from 12 species
ACGGGUGCGUAACGCGUAUACAACUUGCCUCUAACAAAGGGAUAGCCCAUGGAAACGUGGAUUAAUACCUUAUAAUAUUUAGACAUGGCAUCAUGAUUAAAUCAAAGAUUUAUCGGUUAGAGAGAGGUAUGCGUGACAUUAGCUAGUUGGUAGGGUAACGGCUUACCAAGGCAACGAUGUCUAGGGGUUCUGAGAGGAUGAUCCCCCACAC